GGAUAAGGUAGCUUGAAGCUUUGAAUGAGCUAUCAAACUUAAACCAUGUUUGGUGUGAUUUUUGUCUUUACAUGAUCUCAGAUGACUUGAAGCUAGACAGGCAAUGUUGCAAGUCUGUAAGCAACCUUAGAUUUGCAUAUAGUUGCAUCCCUCAGGCAAACCAUCUAUGAUACCCAGCACUUGGUGUUUCUAAUGUACCACAAACUAAAAUGCAAUUGAG